UACGGAGGGUGCAAGCGUUAUCCGGAUUCACUGGGGUUAAAGGGUGCGUAGGUGGGCAGGUAAGUCAGUGGUGAAAUCCUGUAGCUUAACUACAGAACUGCCAUUGAUACUAUUUGUCUUGAAUACCCUGGAGGUGGGCGGAAUAUGUCAUGUAGCGGUGAAAUGCUUAGAUAUGACAUAGAACAUCUAUUGCGAAGGCAGCUCACUACGGGAAUAUUGACGCUGAGGCACGAAAGCGUGGGGAUCAAACAGG
rnacentral:rRNA from 1 species